UGGGGAAUUUUGGACAAUGGGGGAAACCCUGAUCCAGCCAUCCCGCGUGUGCGAUGAAGGCCUUCGGGUUGUAAAGCACUUUUGGCAGGAAAGAAACGUCAUGGGUUAAUACCCCGUGAAACUGACGGUACCUGCAGAAUAAGCACCGGCUAACUACGUGCCAGCAGCCGCGGUAAUACAUAGGGUGCAAGCGUUAAUCGGAAUUACUGGGCGUAAAGCGUGCGCAGGCGGUUCGGAAAGAAAGAUGUGAAAUCCCAGAGCUCAACUUUGGAACUGCAUUUUUAACUACCGGGCUAGAGUGUGUCAGAGGGAGGUGGAUUUCCGCGUGUAGCAGUGAAAUGCGUAGAUAUGCGGAGGAACACCGAUGGCGAAGGCAGCCUCCUGGGAUAACACUGACGCUCAUGCACGAAAGCGUGGGGAGCAAACAGG
rnacentral:rRNA from 1 species